UACAGAGGUCCCGAGCGUUGUUCGGAUUCAUUGGGCGUAAAGGGUGCGUAGGCGGCGGGGCAAGUCUGAUGUGAAAUCCCGGGGCUCAACCCCGGAACUGCAUUGGAUACUGCCUUGCUUGAGUACUGGAGAGGAGACUGGAAUUUACGGUGUAGCAGUGAAAUGCGUAGAUAUCGUAAGGAAGGCCAGUGGCGAAGGCGGCUCACUGGACCAUAACUGACGCUGAUGCACGAAAGCUAGGGGAGCAAACAGG
rnacentral:rRNA from 1 species